UCAUGGGAAUCCUAUCAAAACCGUCAACAACCCUUCUCACCUGCGGCGUAACAGACCUUCUCUGUCUUCAAGACGCCGUGAGAACUCACCUGUACGUCUUGUGACGUCAAAACCAAGAGGCUUCAGUUCCUGGAGCGUCCGAGAACCUUACAGAGAUAUUAAAGACCGGGAAAAGGUUUCCAAUCUCUCACAAGACACACCUGGAAAAUUUCAGGUGGUGUGUAUCUAUAUCUGUAGGAUCAGACCAGGCAUGGACGGAAGGGAACAGGAGACAAUGGAGAAAGACAAGGAGUCCGGGCCGGAGGAGUCCGGGUCUGAAGUGUCGAGUUGGAAGGACAUGGAUGAAGACGAGAAGGCGCUGUGGAAGGCUGCAGGGGAAGGAGACACGGACAGAGUGAAGCAGCUGUUAGCGGAGGGAGUCAACCCUAAUGCUGCUGAUGGCCGUCGGGUUUGUUGCCAUGUCUUUCGUCAUUUUGCUUACUAUGGUGAUAAAACAUUUAAGGCUGUGCAAUGAAAAUCAAGAGGUGUUGGGGGCAAACCGUUUAAGAGCGACACAGAUGGGAAGGUUCAGGGCGCACUGGUCGCUGCACCCGUCUUCAGCUUUCAGCUUGUCUGUAACAUAUCCGUAUCAUUUCCCAAAGCAACCAGGAAUGGCUACCAUGAAACUGUGUCAGCUUUACUGACAGCUGGUGCAGAUGUGAACGCACAGAACAUGGUGGUUGGUACACUGAUUGCUGUGAUACAAGAAAUAUCUUUGUGCCAGUUUGUAAGAUUUGACAUUUGCUGUUUAAAAUAUCACAAACACAAACACUGUUACCAACAUUUCAUGUGGCACUUUUGUCUGUUCUGGUGCAGAUGUGCACGGAACGAUAACAUAGGUGGACUGACUACUUUAUUUCCGAAACAUUUUCAUGUCUUAUAAGAUUUGAUAUUCAUCUUUUACAUAACGGUUUACUUGCUGAAUUCCGUUAGAAUUGUCAACAAAAUAACUGCACAUUUGUCCUACCUGUUGUCAUGCUGAAGGCCAUCUGAUGUAUUUACAGCAAGACUCUCCCCUGCACCUGGCAGCCUGGAAUGGCCACCAUGAAACUGUAUCAGUUUUACUGACAG